rnacentral:rRNA from 1 species
UACGUAGGGUGCAAGCGUUGUCCGGAAUUAUUGGGCGUAAAGAGCUCGUAGGUGGUCUGUUACGUCGGCUGUGAAAACCUAGGGCUCAACCCUGGGCCUGCAGCCGAUACGGGCAGACUAAAAUUCGGUAGGGGAGACUGGAAUUCCUGGUGUAGUGGUGAAAUGCGCAGAUAUCAGGAGGAACACCGGUGGCGAAGGUGGGUUUUUGGGCCGAUAUUGACGCUGAGGAGCGAAAGCGUGGGGAGCGAACAGG